rnacentral:tRNA from 1 species
AAAUAAGAAGCGAAAAAUUGCAAUCAGUUUCGACCUGACAUUUGGCAUAAAAAUGACCUUCAUUA